rnacentral:lncRNA from 1 species
AUCUUCGACUAGGACAUUCUCCAUGGACUAGAAAAAUGAUUCCAGUUGGAGAGGAUGAUCGACGUGAGGAUUUGUGAAGGGCGUGGCAUUUUUAAGGCAACAAACAUGUGCAGUCGGCUGCUGGUCCGGCCGCCUACAGGUGAGUGUGUGUAUUUGCUGUUUAAUGUGUUUGUUUGUUAUUUUAAUUGUUUCUUUUUAUUUUCAGAUUAUCAGCUCCGGCUGCAUCAUCGUUUAGUGGCUUCCAGUUCAGAUUCCUUGCACCAGAAGGAUAUGUAUCCGCUUGGAGAUUGUGAAGGCGUGAGGAUUUGCGGAGGGCGUGGCAGUUUUUGGGCGCCCCGUGUCCAAAACUCAACCAGAUUCGAGCGGCUUCUGGUCCGGCCGCCUGCAG